GAUAGAACCUGUCCUCGGAAUGGGGCCGAUACUCAAAGUUCAGGUAUCCAAAUUGGUAUCGGGAAGGGGGCAUCUCUACAUUGUAAGCCAGGUUCCUUCGAGAAGUUUUCAUAUUUACGAAUGUUCCUCAAACGCAUCACCCGCAGUUUAAAAACAAAAAUACAAACAAACGCAGAAACAAAACAAACACCCAUAGCAUCUGCACAACAGCUGAGACACAGGCUCUCUGCUGGAAAACGGCAAGAUCCUCCUCUGAGUUUCCCGUCUGCUGUAAGCUCCAUGUCGAACUGCGCAGAGGCGUCGGCAGAACAGCAUCGCUUCUUAACGAAAUACGACACGUGUCAAAACACAAACGCGUGCACGGCAUUCACCCUGCGUUUGUAGAGGCACGUGCAAAUGGGCAAACACGACAUGCUUGUAAGCAGGCAGUGUUCCAGUGACACCGUUGAGGUCGGGGUGACUUCCUAAUCCUUUUGGGGUCACGCGGAUCUACAAAGAGAGCAGAUGACACAGCACAGAGGUCCAUGUUGCCACGGGGGAGAAGUGACCCAUACACCUGCCAACUUGAGCUGCAACAUGUUUUCUCACAGAGGGACUCCAUGCAACAUCCGUGCCUCUUGCGGUUCCCGAUGGAAGAGUUUAGCAUGAGGUAACCGGUCAUCCAUCGGUCAGAUCCAUCAUGCCACAGCGAUGUCAUGCCCCGGACUCGUACUUCCUGGAGCUUCUCGGAUGAAGGACUAUAAGGGCUGCAAGUGAGCAACCGGUAGGCAGGAGGCAAGGAACAGCAGAUAGAUUAAUCAGAGAGGCAGCAUGGCUCAAGACAAGUCCCACUCCCAUCAGGUCACGUGUUAUUUGCUCGCUAAUCUAAUCAAGCGAUUGAUGAUGUGACUGCUGAAACGUAUUCUUUUUAAAAGAGUGUACUCGUGCAGAAUGACCCUUUCCCUGGUGAAAGGCAUUCAUUCAGAGCUGAACUUGGGCUGAACUCACUGACACAUAAUCUCUCAGGAUUACGAAUUUUCCGGGACACUCUUCUUUUGCCAGUUCAUGGUGUCUUUCAUUCGCGCCGCAUGGUUGUUUUAGAGACGUCUGCUCUACAUGCAUUUCUGCCACAACUUUUACAAAAUGUAUCUUGCGCUAGGAGAAGUAUAUGAUUUGGCUUCACUUUUUUUCUAUACAGUCUAUGUGUAGUAGUGAUAUUUUAUCGGGAUGGCUUGAUUUCAUUCACUAUAAUAAUCAGGAACAAAUGAAAUGAUCAGCGUUAACUUUAUUUUUUUUUUCUUCUCAAGUCUGUCCUUAUGAAGUCCAUUAGAAGAGUUAUAAAUUGCCUCAAAAUGCCUUCUUAUCAUACUGGCCUGUAAAAAACAGUGAACAAGACCCACAGGCCAUGUUCUGCACAAAGAAUAUUUAGCUGAGCUUCAGCAGAGGUAUGCUGGUGGUUAAUUGAACGCCUUUUGGAAGUGUGUGUGUGCGUGUAGGCAGUUUCUAGUAGCUUAUAACUUCAUAUUAACUGAAGCUGAAACCUAAUUUUUUAUUGUUUGGUCAUGUGGGGAAGGAAUCAGUUAAUUUAAUAAUUCAUGAAUAUACUGUGGACUAUUGUUUACUGUGAUAUAAUAUAUCAAUAUAACAUUUUAGUACGACAAUUGCAGUGAGCGGUUUUAAUAUACCAAAUGAAAGACUUUAGAGAAAUGUCGAAUAAAUCCUUAAAGCAAGAGUCCUUUUCAUAAAAGUUGAGCAUAACUUCAUUUAGACCGGAGCUUUUGUAUUUUUUUCAAACUUUUUACGCCUGAAUCACGAAUGCUGCGAUGGCUGCUGUGAUUACAAUCUAACGAUAAUCCAAUGUACGGUAGAUGCAAAUUCCUCACAGAUGCAAUACUUUCGACAUGCAUAAUUAAUGUGCCUCCACACCGACC